GUUGUGUCUGCUCUGAAUAAAGCAUGGUGUGUGAACUGUUUCGCUUGUUCAACUUGCAACACUAAGCUAACCCUCAAGGAUAAGUUUGUCGAAAUUGAUCUAAAACCUGUCUGCAAACACUGUUAUGAGAAAAUGCCAGAUGAAUUUAAGCGACGACUUGCCAAACGGGAACGUGAAGCAAAGGAUAAAGACAAGCAGAAAAAGAAAAAGCCAAUCUGUUUGUAAACUUCUUUUCCUUCUCACCGCCAUCUCGGCUCCUUUCUUCUUUGG